rnacentral:rRNA from 1 species
CCUACGGGGAGCAGCAGUGGGGAAUAUUGCACAAUGGGGGAAACCCUGAUGCAGCGACGCCGCGUGAGUGAAGAAGUAUUUCGGUACGUAAAGCUCUAUCAGCAGGGAAGAAAAUGACGGUACCUGACUAAGAAGCCCCGGCUAACUACGUGCCAGCAGCCGCGGUAAUACGUAGGGGGCAAGCGUUAUCCGGAUUUACUGGGUGUAAAGGGAGCGUAGACGGCAGCGCAAGUCUGAAGUGAAAUCCCAUGGCUUAACCAUGGAACUGCUUUGGAAACUGUGCAGCUAGAGUGCAGGAGAGGUAAGCGGAAUUCCUAGUGUAGCGGUGAAAUGCGUAGAUAUUAGGAGGAACACCAGUGGCGAAGGCGGCUUACUGGACUGUAACUGACGUUGAGGCUCGAAAGCGUGGGGAGCAAACAGGAUUAGAUACCCCAGUAGUC